CCAUAGCAAUUUACCCACCCUUACUGCACAGCGAGUACUGUAACUCUGACAGAAAGAAAGUCUGACAGUUUAAUUGCAGAAAACAGGGGACGGGAAAACUAAGCCUUCCCAGCCAUAUUUGGCAGAAGUUCUGGAAUGAGAUUGCCAUUAGAGGAGAAAGUAGGAAGCGAACCCUCAUGAGGAGCACCUAAGAGAGAUCAGGACGCUCUAACUUGGCCAAGGGGAGACAAGGAGAACCUGGAGCUCUUGCCACCAAGGAACGGAACAGAAGUAAGCUGUCUUCUGUGUCCAUGUCACCUGGCUUCAGUUAGAAAUACAAGAAUAAACAGGAAAAUAACUUGCAGCAUAUAGUUUGAGAAUCAUCCCACCUGUUGCCUACCUGAACCAAGAACAAGAUCCUGGAGCAGGACUGUGCUGGUACUAGUUUGCUGCAGAUCUACUGGGAUCCUUAUAUUGAGAGAGACCUAAUAGGUAAGUAAAAAUCAGAGUUUAUUCAAGGAGCCAAGGCCCUUAGAAGAGAGUACUAUUGCUAUCUGCCCU
rnacentral:lncRNA from 1 species